CUAGGAAGGAAAGGAGUAAUCGCAGUCACCAUGCAUCUCAUUGUCGAAAUUGGGAAGGUGUGAGACCCAGCGCCUCUGGUUCAGGAGUUCGAACCCACGGUCUCCAGAAGCCCUCGGACCUGCAGGAUGGCAAGCGCAAGUCGCGCACAAAGAACGUGAGCCCAGCCACCGGACUCAACUCGGACUUAGUAAGGGCACCGGGCCCGGGCAAAGGCAAGAGCGGCGGGUAAAAGGCGAGGGCUGAAGUAGAGGGCG
rnacentral:lncRNA from 1 species